CCCGUACGGUAUGGUGAGCUAGGUAGAAGCUUAGCGCAAGCUUCGGAGAGAAGGAUCCCAUAAUAGUGGUUGGGUUUUCUUUUCUUAGCUACUACUGGAAAUGAU